CCAGUUCAGGGUUGCAGGAGGCCAUUACCAGUCUCCUACAUAUCAAUAAAUAAUUGCCAUAUUUCCAAUCUAUCAGUUGCAGGUAAACAUGUCACAUUUUCAUUGACCAGUUGUGUUUAUUUGUUCUUUUUAUAUACUGUUAGCUUCAUUUAUGAAUUAAGACACAUUUUGCGAUUUAACUUCCUUUCAAUUGCUUAAUUAAUUUUAUUACUGUAGCCAAGAAAAACAAAAUGCCUCAAAAGCUGCAUUUUAUUGGAUGCAUACAACUCGCUCUUCUGUUGAAACCUCUCUACAAAAUAGAUGUGUUGGUAGCAACUAGCUCGGAGCUUAUUUGCAUCAACUGUCUGGCAAUUUAGCUUGAAACCUGGCUGUUUCAAAUUUGCUGUCUUAAAGUAAAAGGAUUCUUCUCCCACGGUUCCUUUGCGUCUGCAUGGCUUCAUUCGUAAAUGGCAUCACCUGUUCAAUUUAUUCCUGUGAAGUUCUCCUAUCGUUGAAAGGGGGCUGUGUGCAGGUGCAAAGUAGGAGAAAACCAUGGAGGGGGCACCAGUGUGUGGCACAGCAGGCUCGGUCCAGGUUGGCCAAUUUAGAGUCACCGAUGAACAUUUGUGUGGCUUUGGGAUGUGGGAGGAAAAUAGGAAGCUGAAGAAAAAGCCAGUGAGAAUGUGCAAACUACACAAAGACAACGGCCCCAGUAGGAUUUGGAUGUAGGACUCUGAAGCUUAAAGCGAUACUACUAUACAAACUGUUGAAGAGCUGUGUGUGUGUAUAUAAAAUAUGCAUGAAGAAUAAGAAAACGAUGACAAUUUACUAAUUGAAUGAAAAUGCAAAAAUCUACAUGAAUAAGCAAACAUUUUCAGCUUUACUGUAAGUGCACUUGAUAAAUGGUUUUCAUAUAAAACAAAAUUACA